GAGUAACUGAAGGGGAAGGUGCUCUCCUGCACCUCCAACUGCUGACCUUUUCGGCAGGCCCACAAAACAGACUUUUGCUAAUGAUUUGACUGCCCGUGUAGACGUUCCUGCAGGGAAGAGCAUUGCUCUGAACAAGCUUCUGAGUAGUUGGCAUUUGUUCUUCUUACUCUUGGUAUUUCGGUUUAGACUCUUAAGAGUCUGGUUGGUAUGAUUCAUUGCCCUUGAAUCUGCUUAUCUCUGGGCGCACUGGCAAAACGGAGUUUCUGGGCUGGCAAAGCUGUGAGCUAGAGACUCUGCCCUGGGAUGACCUCACCAGGAUUGCUGCUCUGUGACACCCUCUCUGAGCAGUCAGCACCCUCCUCCUUUGACCUCUUGUUUUAAACCCACGUUUUGUAGUUUUUGAUUCUGGGGAUAUGAUCCUUUUCCCCCACCCCUUCCAGCGUGAGGUCCGAGCUCUUCUCUAGGUCUCAGCACCAGCAAAGAGGCAGGCAGAACUUCAACGGGCAAACCUUGAAGGGAACAACUGUAAUUUAUAAGCUUCGGAGUGUUUGCUUCAACUAACAACCCCAUGGCUACCUGGUCACACCGGAGCAUCUGGGAGCUGUUGCUGCUGCAGCUGCCGGUCACCACAAGGGUGCAGUACAGACUGGACCAGCAUCCCGGUAUCACCUGGAAGCUGGUUCAAAUUCAGAAUCUUGGUCCACAACACAGAACUACUGGAUGAGAAUCUUCACUUGAACAAGAUCCUCCCCAGAUGAUUCAUCUGCACCUUCAAGUUUGAGAAGUGCUGCUGUCAUCUAGAGGAACUACCUGGCUCUAAGGGAGGUCUUCACUGUUCACCUUGUGAGUACUUGGGGUUCCUAAAAGGGACCUGCCCAUGUCUACUGGGCCUCAUCGAUGGGGGUGACUUUGAGGUUGUGAGGAAGGAAAGAGGGAGAUCUGGGAGGGAGUCACUGAGGGGCCCAUGUUUGGGGGCAUCUAAGGAGGAGGCAGCUUCCUGGACUUCCACUAGGAGGCGCUGCACCCCAGGAAGUGGAAGUAGAACGCUGAGGCUGGAUAAGACUCAGUCUAGAGGACUCCACUUUGGACUUCACCCCUCCAACAUGGAUUCUCUGGAUGUUCCUGACUCAAGUUCCAUUCAUUCAUUCAUUCACUCAUUCACUCACCAUUCAAAAUAGCAUCUUUUAGCUCUUAAAGUACAGUACAUCAUAGGGAGCUGCAAAGCUGUAUACAGAUACUUCUUGCCCAUGUGGUUUACUUUCCAGCUGGAAGAAAAUACUAGCCCACAGGCAACAAUAAGAAAACAACAGAAGACAUGCUGUAGAUGGAAGAGGCAUUUCUCAC
rnacentral:lncRNA from 1 species